rnacentral:rRNA from 1 species
GACGAACGCUGGCGGCGUGCUUAACACAUGCAAGUCGAACGGAAAGGCCCUGCUUUUGUGGGGUGCUCGAGUGGCGAACGGGUGAGUAACACGUGAGUAACCUGCCCUUGACUUUGGGAUAACUUCAGGAAACUGGGGCUAAUACCGGAUAGGAGCUCCUGCUGCAUGGUGGGGGUUGGAAAGUUUCGGCGGUUGGGGAUGGACUCGCGGCUUAUCAGCUUGUUGGUGGGGUAGUGGCUUACCAAGGCUUUGACGGGUAGCCGGCCUGAGAGGGUGACCGGCCACAUUGGGACUGAGAUACGGCCCAGACUCCUACGGGAGGCAGCAGUGGGGAAUAUUGCACAAUGGGCGGAAGCCUGAUGCAGCAACGCCGCGUGCGGGAUGACGGCCUUCGGGUUGUAAACCGCUUUCGCCUGUGACGAAGCGUGAGUGACGGUAAUGGGUAAAGAAGCACCGGCUAACUACGUGCCAGCAGCCGCGGUGAUACGUAGGGUGCGAGCGUUGUCCGGAUUUAUUGGGCGUAAAGGGCUCGUAGGUGGUUGAUCGCGUCGGAAGUGUAAUCUUGGGGCUUAACCCUGAGCGUGCUUUCGAUACGGGUUGACUUGAGGAAGGUAGGGGAGAAUGGAAUUCCUGGUGGAGCGGUGGAAUGCGCAGAUAUCAGGAGGAACCCCCGUGGCGAAGGCGGUUCUCUGGGCCUUUCCUGACGCUGAGGAGCGAAAAGCGUGGGGAGCGAACAGGCUUAGAUACCCUGGUAGUCCACGCUGUAAACGGUGGGUACUAGGUGUGGGGUCCAUUCCACGGGUUCCGUGCCGUAGCUAACGCUUUAAGUACCCCGCCUGGGGAGUACGGCCGCAAGGCUAAAACUCAAAGGAAUUGACGGGGCCCCGCACAAGCGGCGGAGCAUGCGGAUUAAUUCGAUGCAACGCGUAGAACCUUACCUGGGUUUGACAUGGAUCGGGAGUGCUCAGAGAUGGGUGUGCCUCUUUUGGGGUCGGUUCACAGGUGGUGCAUGGCUGUCGUCAGCUCGUGUCGUGAGAUGUUGGGUUAAGUCCCGCAACGAGCGCAACCCUUGUUCACUGUUGCCAGCACGUUAUGGUGGGGACUCAGUGGAGACCGCCGGGGUCAACUCGGAGGAAGGUGGGGAUGACGUCAAGUCAUCAUGCCCCUUAUGUCCAGGGCUUCACGCAUGCUACAAUGGCUGGUACAGAGAGUGGCGAGCCUGUGAGGGUGAGCGAAUCUCGGAAAGCCGGUCUCAGUUCGGAUUGGGGUCUGCAACUCGACCUCAUGAAGUCGGAGUCGCUAGUAAUCGCAGAUCAGCAACGCUGCCUCUUAAAGGGUCCCGGGGCU